rnacentral:rRNA from 1 species
GACGAACGCUGGCGGCGUGCCUAAUACAUGCAAGUUGAGCGCUGAAGGUUGGUACUUGUACCAACUGGAUGAGCAGCGAACGGGUGAGUAACGCGUGGGGAAUCUGCCUUUGAGCGGGGGACAACAUUUGGAAACGAACGCUAAUACCGCAUAAAAACUUUAAACACAAGUUUUAAGUUUGAAAGAUGCAAUUGCAUCACUCAAAGAUGAUCCCGCGUUGUAUUAGCUAGUUGGUGAGGUAAAGGCUCACCAAGGCGAUGAUACAUAGCCGACCUGAGAGGGUGAUCGGCCACAUUGGGACUGAGACACGGCCCAAACUCCUACGGGAGGCAGCAGUAGGGAAUCUUCGGCAAUGGACGAAAGUCUGACCGAGCAACGCCGCGUGAGUGAAGAAGGUUGUCGGAUCGUAAAACUCUGUUGGUAGAGAAGAACGUUGGUGAGAGUGGAAAGCUCAUAAAGUGACGGUAACUACCCAGAAAGGGACGGCUAACUACGUG